GUUUAUUUUUCAAAAUACAUGCAAAGAUAAUAUUCAACAUUCACCCUUUAAAAAACUUUGUGUUCCAAUUUUUUCUCCCUACCUCCUCCCCUAGACAUUAAGUAAUCCAAUAUAGGUUAAACAUGAGCAAUUAUUCUAAACAUAAUUUCACAUUUAUCAUGCUGCACAAGAAAAAUUAGACGAAACCAGGGGGGGGGGGAGGGGAAGAAGGAGGGGAGGAAGAGAAGGGGAAAGGGGGUAGGGAAUGAGAGUAAGAAAAAAAAAAAAAGAAGAAGCAAACAACAAAAAGUGGGGGGAAACACUAUGUUGUGAUCCACUCUCAGUUCCCAGUCUUCUUUCUGGGUGCAGAUGGCUCUCUUCAUCACCAGAUCAUUGGAACUUGUCUGAAUCCUGGUCUUCACUGUCAAAGAGUCACGUUCUGCUCAUUGUAUAAUAUGGAUGUUGCCAUGUACAAUGAUCUCCUGGUUCUGCUCACUUCACUUUGCAUCAGUUCCUGUAAGACUCCCCUGGCCUCUCUGAAAUCAUCCUGCUCAUCAUUUCUUACAGAACAAUAUUCCAUAACAUUCACAUACAUAAUUUAUUCAGCCAUUCUCCAACUGAUGGGCAUCCACUCAAUUUCCAGUUUCUAGCCACUACAAAAAGGGCUGCCACAAACAUUCUUGCACAUAAAGGUCCCUUUCCCUUCUUUAGUAUCUUCUUGGGGUAUAAGCCCAGUAGAGACACUGCUGGAUCAAAGGGUAUGCACAGUUUGAUAACUUUUUGGGCAUAAUUCCAGAUUGCUCUCCAGAAUGGUUGGAUGUUAUCACAGUUCCACCAGUAAUGCAUCAGUGUCCCUGUUUUCCCACAUCCCCUCUAACAUUCAUCAUUAUUUUUUUUCCUGUCAUCUUAGCCAAUCUGACAGGUGUGUAGUGGUAUCUCAAAGUUGUUUUAAUUUGCAUUUCUCUAAUUAAUAAUGAUUUAGAGUAUGUUUUCAUAUGACUAGAAAUGGCUUUCAUUUCUUCAUUUGAAAAUUGUCUGUUCAUAUCCUUUGACCACUUAUCAAAUUGGAGAAUGGCUUGAAUUCUUAUAAAUUUGAGUCAAUUCUUUAUAUAUUUUAAAAAUAAGGUCUUUAUCACCCUUACAUGUAAACAUUUUUCCCAGCUUUCUGCUUCCCUUCUAAUCUUGGCUGCAUUGGGGUUUUGUUUUAUAAAAACUUUUUAAUUCAAUAUAAUCAAAAUUAUCAAUUUUGCAUUUUAUAAUAUUCUCUAGUUCUUUUUUAGCCACAAAUUCCUUCCUUUUUCACAGAUCUGAAAGGUAGACUAUCCUUUGUUCUUCUAAUUUGCUUAUAAUAUCUAUCACUUUUUAUGUCUAAAUCAUGAACUCAUUUUGAUCUUAUUCUGAUAUAGGGUGUUAGGUGUUAUUCAAUGCUUAAUUUUUGCCAUACUAUUUUCCAAUUUUUCCAGCAAUUUUUGUCAAAAAGUAAGUUCUUAUCCCAGAAGCUGGAGUCUUUAAGUUUAUCAAACACUAGAUUACUAUAAUCAUUGAUUAUUUUGUCUUAUGACCCUAACCCAUUGCACUGAUCUACUACUUCAUUUCUUAGUACCAAAUCAUUUUGAUGACCUCUGCUUUAUAAUAUAGUUUGAGAUCUGGUACAGUCUUCAUUUGCAUUUUUCUAAUUAAUUUUCUUGAAAUUCUUGACCUUUUGUUCUUUUAAAUGAAUUUAUUUUUUUCUAGCUCCAUAAAGUAAUAUUUUAGAAGUUUGAUUGGUAUGGCACUAAAUAAGUAGAUUAAUUUUCAUAGAAUUAUCAUUUUUAUUAUAUUAGUUCAGCCUACCCGUGAGCACUUAAUAUUCUUCCAAUUGUUUAGAUGUGAUUUUAUUGUUUGUAAAGCACUUUGUAAUUGUGUUCAUAUAGUCCCUGUCUUUGUCUUGGCAGGUAGACUCUCAAAUAUUUUAUAUUAUCUACAGUUAUUUUAAAUGGGAUUUCUCUAUUUCUUGCUGUUGGACUUUGUUGGUAACAUAUAGAAAUGUUGAUGACUUAUGUGGAUUUAUCUUAUAUCCUGCAACUUUGAAUUAUUUUUAGUAGUUUUUUAGUUGAUUCUUUAGGAUUCUCUAAGGAAACCAUCAUCUGCAAAGAAUAAUAAUUUUAUUUCCUCAUUACCUCUCUAAUUCCUUCAAUUUAUUUUUCUUCCCUUAUUUUUAAAGCGAACAUUUCUAAUAAAAUAUUGAAAAGUAAUGGUAAUAGCAAGCAAUCUUAUUUCACCCCUGAUCUCAUUGGGAAUGGUUUUCACUUAUCCCUAUUACAUAUGUUUGCUGAUGGUUUUAGAUAGAUGCUACCUAUAAUUUAAAGGAAAAUUCCAUUUAUUCCUAUGCUCUUUAGUGUUUUUAAUAGGAAUGGGUGUAGUAUUUUGUCAAAUACUUUUUCUGCAUCUAUCGAUAAAAUCAUAAGAUUUCUGUUAGUUUGGUUAUUGAUAGAGUCAAUUAUGCUAAUAGUUUUCCUGAUAUUCCAACAGUCCUGCAUUCCUAGUAUAAAUCUUACUAUCCUGGUGAUAACUUGCUGUAAUCUCUUUGCUAAUAUUUAAGAUUUUUGCCUCAAUAUUCAUUAGGGAAAUUGGUCUAUAAUUGCCUUUCUCUGUUUUGGCUUUUCGUGGUUUUGGUAUCAGCACCAUAUCUGUGUUAUAAAAAGAAUUUGGCAAAAGUCCUUCUUCUAUUUUUCCAAAUAGAUUGUAUAGUAUUGGAAUUAAUUGUUCUUUAAAUAUUUGUUAAAAUUCACAUGCAAAUCCUUUGGUGCUGGAGAUUUUUUCUUAGGGAGUUAAUCAAUAACUUGUUCAAUUUCUUUUCCUAAAAUGGGACUAUUUAAGUAAUUUAUUUCCUCUACUGUUAAUCUGGGCAACCUAUAUUUUUUGUAGGUAUUCAUCCACUUCACUUAGAUUAUCAGAUCUAUUGGCAUACAGUAAGGACAAAAUAGUUCCUAAUUAUUGCUUUAAUUUCCUUUUCAUUGGUAGUGAGUUCACCCUUUUCAUUUUUUAUAACCCAACUCUGUUUUUGUAGCAAAUACCCACGAUUCAGAUUUAUGGACUAAUUGACAUCAUUAUCAUAACUUUAUUAUUAUGCAACCACGAUAUUGGGGAAUUGUGAACUGAGAUCUCUUGCCCCAAUCCCUCAAGACUUCUUCUAGAAGCCAGAGCAGAAAUGGGGCACUUAUCUUAUGGACACUUGACAAGAGUAGCUCCAUAGUCCACUAAGCAUUCAUGACCUCAACUGAUCUCCAGAACUCCCUAGGAGGCAGUAUUAUCCCUAUUUUGUUGGUGAGAAUCUGAGGCUCAGAAAGCUUAAAUGAUGUACUCAUGGAAGCAUAGCUAAUGUCAGAGGUAAUUCCAAGCUAUAUUUCUUUAGACUCCAAGUCUGUCAUUCUGUCCAUUAAACCACUAUGCUACUUUCCUGUUAAAACAAAACAAAAAGUUUUGCAUCAAGUCAUUUGCUGGUAUCCACACUUCUGGUAACCAGACAGAACCAGCUUCUUACCUGUGGAUAGCCAGAGUUAGAGGCUAGAACAGAAGAGUCCGGAAUCAAACAGAAGUUUAAUUCCAAAGUGAGGGAAACUGCUUGCAAGCAAAGACACACAUGCUGGGGUCUUAUCUCUUUAGUGUGGCCAAAUCUCAAUAUUUAUACCAACAGCUGGGCAGUGAGCUGUAGACCUAACAAUGAGGGGUAACAGCAAGAAUGUGACAAGAUUUAUAGCAGAACUUCAUGACCAAAUCAUGGGCACUACAGGUACUUGUUGGAGCUCAGAGAAUAUGUGGUGCUGGUCAAAGCAAUACAAUAAUUAUGAUUUUGCCAGAGGGUAAGAUCAUAGAGCAAAUGAGCACAAAGGCAUAUUAUGUCAGCCUAAGGACACAGCUUGUUUGCUGGUCCUUAACUAUAGAAAACAGGCUGUUUCCUAACAUCUUGACACUCCCCAAUAGAAUUGUCUAAUGUAACCAAGAAAAUAAGUUAUUCAAAAUGAACAUAAAAUGGGUGCAGUAUCCAAAUUGACAAACAUUUUCAUCUGUAGCACUACCUCUAGCCCACCUCUUUCUAGGGUUGGAAAGAUCAUGUUUCCUGACAAACCGUUAAAUAUUGUUAUAAUUCAGGACUCAAAGAUGGCUACCACUUCUAACUAUGGAAGCCCAUCAAAUGUCACAGACAGUUUUUUCAGGUCAUAUCAGCAAAGGAAUUUAUCCUUGGGUGAACUUAGCUAGGAUGUUCAGAAGACCUUAGUUCUAUAGCUGUCGAUGGGAGAGGCUAUCUAGUUCACUCUCUUCAUUCUACUGAUAAGGAAACUGACUAAGGUCACAGGGACCAUUCAGAACAAGGAUUUCAGCUGAAUAUUCUUUCUUGCCUUCAGAGUAACCAAUGUUCUCUCCACUCUUCAAUUCUUCCUCCCAGGGGGCUUUUGACUCCACCCUACUUCCUCCAAGAGACAUCAAACUUUAGUUCCCAUCUAAAGGAACACUUAGAAAAAUUGCAAAGGAUUAUCAAGGAAUUCUCUCAAAGAAGGGAAAAGGAUCACUUUGGAAAGCCAUAGUUGUCAUUUGGGAAUCUGAUGAAUGGGAGGUAAAUAUUGGAGUCUCCAUAUUGAAUGCAAAGAAAUGUAUUAGCAUGCUAAGGAGUACCGAUCAUGCUGAUAGUAGCUUCAUCUAAAAAAUUUCUACCUCUAAAUACAUAUAUCAAUAAAAUAGAAAGAGAGCAUAUCAGUGAUUUGGGCAUGCAAUUAAGAAACCAGAAAAAGAACAAAAUUAAAAUCUACAAUUAAAUAUCAAAACAAAAAUCCAGAAAAUCAAAAGAUUAGUAAAACUGCAAGUAAAAGAAAUCAAAUUAAUAAAACUAGGGGGUGGUUUUAUGGGGAAAAUAAAUUGGGUACUUUGAUUAAAAAAAAAUUACCAGUUUUGAUAAAAGGAUGAAUGCACAAUCAAUAAAGAUGAAAUUAAAGCAAUUAUUAGUAUUUUGCUCAAUUACAUGCCAGUAAAAAUGACAAUUUAAGCAAAAUGGAUGAAUGUUUUAAAAAAUGUAAAUUGCCCAGGUUAGCAGAAAAAAAUAGAAUACUUAAAUAACCCUGUCUUAGAAAAACAAAUGGAAUAAGGUAUCAGUGAGUUCUCCCAAGAAAAAAUCCACAGAACAGUGGCAGAGCCAAAAUGGUGUAGCAGAGAAGCACUCAGUCAGGCUGUCCCAAAAUUCCUUCCAAACAACUCUAAAAUAACACCUCAAAUUGAUAUUCUGAAUCAUCAAAAUGUACAUAAAGUAGGAUGAAACUAUUUUCCAGCUGCCAGACAAAUUAGAAGAUUGGCAAGUCUAUUUGCCCAGGAUAGUAGCAUAGGCUGCACUAUUGGGCUACAUUUUAAGCUACAUUUAAGGCUUAAGUUUCAGAAGCUCUCAGUUCAUGGACUGUAAUGAGUCAUCCAAUUAGUCCAAAGGAGAUUAAAAGGGACCAUUUGCUAAUGCUAGAUGCACAUCCAUGAGCUUUCUCAAAUUUCUCUCCAAUCAACCCUGAAAAACAUUUCAGAACCAAUUUAUGAUUUAGGAGCAAUUUACUAGUUCAGCGGAAAAGAUGUGUAUCAUGGGAGUGAGAAGAGAAAACAGUAAACAAUUGGCAGCAGCAAAUAAUCCCACAAGGGGCCUGCAAGUAGGUUUGAAGCUCCAGAUCAAUCUACCAGCAAGGCCCCACCCCUGUUCCCACCAGUAGUCUCUAUACUGCCAGCACCAGUGAAGCCCCAGCCCCAUUUCUGACCAAUAAGAAGGCCCUGCACCUAGAAAGAGCCAACAGUCUGAUCUUGUCUCUGGGACCAUUUAGCAGCAAAGUCCUGGCUCCAGGACAAGCCACCAGGGAAGCCCUCCUCUAGCGCAAGCCAUUCCAGUAUUGAAGCCCCCUCCAUAGGAAUCCAGGAGCAAGGGCCAGGCUGUAGGGUGGGUCAGAAACAAGGCCUUACCCUGAGGGCAGGCCAACAAGGAUGCCUGAACCUGAAUACAAACCAGCAUGGAGGCCCACCUCCAAAGCAAGCUAGCAGCUAGGCCUUGAGGAUGAGUGCCAGCAGCAAAGGUUUGAGCCCACCAUAAGAAGUUUGGCACAGCACAGGAGCAGAGCCCCAAAGCACAAAGUUACAAAAGAGUUAGAAAAAUGAGCAACAAUCAAACAAACAAAAAAAGAACUUGAUAAUUACUAUGAUGAAAGGAAGGACCAAGGCACAAACUUAGAAGACAAUAGUGUCAAAAUCACUAUGUUCAAAUCAACAAAGAUAUAUGCAAAUUGAUCUUAGGCCCAAAAAGAACUCUUGGAAAAAUUUUAAAAGAUUUUAAAAAGAAAAAGAAAGUAGAAGAAAAAUUGGGGAAAGAAAUGAGAAUAAUGCAAGAGAAUCAUGAAAAAAAACAUCAACAACACAGCAAAAAAAAAAAAAAAGAAAAAACCACAGACACACAAAAAUUGAAAAAAGACAUACAAAAAAAAUUCUUAAAAGACAGAAUUGAUGAAAUGGAAAAUGAGAUAAAACAUUCAAUAAAUAAAAUAAUUCCUGAAAAAUUAGGAUUGGGUAAGUGGAAGCUAAGGACUCUGUGAGACUUCAAGAAAUGAUUAAGCACAAUUAAGAAAAAAAUGGAAGAAGAUAUGAAAUUUCUCAUCGGGAAAAAAGAAACAAACCAAAAAAAAAAAAAAAAAAAAAAAAAAAAAACCCUGACCUGGAAAAUAAAUCAUGAGAGAUAAUUUAAGAAUUGAACUACCUGAAAAUCAGGAUCAAAAAAGAGUCUAGAACACCAUCUUUCAAUAAAUUAUCUAGGAAAAUUGCUCUGAUAUUAUAGAAAUAGAAGGUAAAAUAGAAAUUGAAAGAAUUCAUCAGUCACCACAUGAAUGAGAUCCAAAAUGAAAACUGCUAAGAAUGUCAUCAAAAUGCCCAGUUCAAGUAAAAAACACUAAAAACAGCAAGAAAGAAACAAUUUAAAUGUUUUGGAGCCACAGUCAGGAUUUAGCAGCUUCCACACUGAAGAAACAGAAGGCUUGGAAUGUGAUAUUCUAGAAGGUAAAGGAAUGAGGAUUAUAGUCAAGAAUCACAUACCCAACACCACUGAAUAUAAUGCUUUGAUGGAAAAUGACUAUUUAAUGGAAUAGAGGACUUUCAAGCACUUCAAAAUAAAAAAAGCCAGAGCUUAAAAAAAAAAAAAAAUGAUCUUCAAGUACAAGAUUAAGGAGAAACAUCAAAGGUAAAAAUAAAUAAAACAAAAGCAAGUGAAUAAGUUAAGCUUUUUAUAUUCCUAAAUGGCAAGAUGACAUUUGUAAUAUAACUUUAUCACUAUCUAGAAAAUUAAAAGGAAUAUAAACAUAAAGGGCACAGGUUUAAAAUGACUACAAGGGAAUCUCUCUCCGCCCCCUGCCAUGCCCCACAAAAAAAAAAAAAAAAAAAAAAGGAAUGAUAACGAUUACAGUAGAAGAAGAAAUUAAGGGGAGACAGGAUAUGGCUAAUUAUCUCUCAUAAAGGACGUAUGAAAGAGUCAUUAUGAUGAAGAGAGAGGUGGGGGAGCAGUGCUUGAACCUUACUCUCAACAUAAGGAGAAUCAAAAAGGAAACAACAUAUACACUCAGUUGGAUAUAGAAAUCUAUCACACCCUGGUGAGAAGUAAAAAGGGACAGGGAUAAGAAGAGAGUAUCAGUAGAAGAGAGAGCAGAUUGAGGGAGGUUGUGAUCAAAAGUAAGAUGCUUAGGAAGAGGGAUAAAGUGAAAGGUAAGAAGGAAAGAACAAGGGGAAAAUAUGAUGGAGGAGAAUAUGGUUAAGUUAUCAUACCUAUAAAUGUGAAUGGGAUGAACUUGCCUAUAAAAUGGAAGAGGAUAGCAGAAUGGAUUAAAAACAGAAUCCUACAAUAUGCUGUUUACAAGAAGCAAAUUUGAAACACAGAAAAAUACAAAGAGCAAAGGUCAGGACUGGAGUAGAAUCUAUUAUGCUUCAGCUGAAGUUCAAAAGCAAGUAGCAAUUAGGGUGUGAGACAAAAGCAAAUGCAAAAAGAAAUUGUAUCUUGCUAAAAGGUACCACAAUGAAGUAAUAUUAAUAGUAAACAUAUAUGUAUAAAAAUAUAGCAUUUAAAUUUUUAAAGGAUAGCUUGUGAUACAGAAGGAAAUAGGUAAUAAAACUUUAUUACUAAAGGACUUCAAUUGCCCUUUCUGAGAACUAGAUGAAUCUAACCACAAAAUUAACGAAAAAAAAAAUUAAGGAGGUAAAUAGAAUCCUAGAAAAGUUAGAUAUAAUAGAUCUCUGAAGAAAACUGAAUUGGAAUAGGAUUCACAAGAAUCCUCAAGACCAGAUGGGCUCACAAGUGCAUUUUACUAAACAUUUAAAAACUAUUAACUGCAAUACUAUCUAAACCAUUUGGAAAAAUAGUUGAAGGAUCCCUAAUGUGACAAAUAAAAAGCCCAAGAGAAGGAAUUUCUGUGUAAUUAAUGAUAAAUUGAUUAAUUAUGGCUCACAAUUAUAAAAAUGAGGACAGUGGCACUCUCAGAAACCAAAGACAAAGCUCUGGGGUACAAUAUCCUUGAUAUAGUGAUUGUCCUGGACAGGCAGAAAUCAACUCUGGGUUAACAAUUAAUUAGAAUGAGGGCUUAUUCUAAUGAAGGGGGAAUGUGAUGGAUAAUGUUAGUCUCAAACAAAGACUCCUCUCCACCCAAAUCAUUCCCCUUCAGCAAUCUAUACAAAAGGAUCUAUCCUCCACCCAAAACACUUAUGCAGUUGAAUAAGGGGAUAGAAUUCACCUAAGAUAACACACUUCAAUCAGAACUAAGCUCUCCUAGUUUGGAUGUGGUCUCACCCAAGAUUGAAACGCAUUCUCAUCAUUAGCUCUGUCCUUCAGAGGCUGUGUUAACCUAAUAAUUAAAUAAGAAAAUAGAAAGAGAAAAAACCUGUAUCUCCACCCCAUAUUAGUAACUGGUUACUAAUAAUUAUCUUAUUAAAAAAAAAAAAACAACACCUUUUAUGUCACAAAAAUGGUGCUGAUACCUAAACAAGAGUCAAAAGAGAAAAAGAAAACUGUAGACCAAAUUCCCUAAAGAAUAUUGAUGUAAAAAACUUAAAUAAAAUAUUAGAAAGGAAAUUACAGCAAUAUAGCAUAAGGAUCAUAUACUAUGACUAGGUAGGAUUUCAUUUUAUUUAAUAGCAUUUUACUUUUUCCAAUUAUACAUAAAGACAAUUCUUAACAUACAUUUUUACAAAAUUUUGAGUUCCAAAUUUUUCUCUCCCCAACCCCUCCCUUCUUCCUAAAAUGGUGAACAAUUUAAUUUAGGUUAUACAUGUGCAAUUAUAUACAACAUAUUUCAAUAUUAGUCAUGUUACAAAAGAAGAAAUAGACAAAAAAGGGAAAAGACUGUCCUUUUAUUAGAUAUAAUUUUACUGCAUUAUGAUCUGAAAAUAAUGCAUUUCAGCCUUGCUACAUUUGAUUUUAAGAUGUUUAUGACCUACUACAUGGUCACUUUUUAUAUAGAUGCCACAUAGUGCUGGGAAAAAGGUAUAUUAUUUUCUAUUUCCAUUCCAUUUUCUCUAAAUAGCUGUCAUUUUGACUUUUUAAAAAUUCUAUUCACUCCCUUAACUUCUUUCUUCUUUAUUUUGUGGUUGGAUUUAUCUAGUUCUGAGAGGGGAAAGUAUCUUCCUGUAACUCAGUUAAUUCUCUUUAAGAAUUUGAAAGCUAUACUAAUUGAGUGUGUGUGUGUGCGCACACACACAGCAAGCAAUAUUGCUUCAUUGUCCAAGGUACCUUUUAGCAAGAUGUAGUUUCCUUUUUUAUAGAUCUUUUUUCCUUUUUUGGAGUCUGAGAUCAUAAUUGUUUUCCAUUUUUGUUGUUUGUUUGUUUUAAACUUCAACUGAAGCAUAAUAGAUUCUGCUUUACCCCAUUACUUUUGUUCUAUAUGUGUCUCUCUGCUUCAGGAGUGUUUCUUGUAAACAUGUUGCAAGAUUUUUGUUCUGAAUACAUUUGCCUAUUCACUUCCUAUUUUAUUUGAGUUCAUUCCACUUACAUUGUUAUGAUUACUGUGCACUUAAGUUGCUAUAAAUCCUUCUCUCUCUCUUCUCUCACUCUUUCCCUCCUCACCAGUAUUUUACUUCAGACUUCCUCCCCCAAUCUACUUUCCCUUCUGUCAGUCUAUUCUUUACUUAAACCCCUUCCCCUGAAGGAUAAGACAGAUUUCCAUACCCAGCUGACUGUUUAUAUUCCUUCUUUGAGUCAAUCCCAAUUAGAGUAAGAUUCAAUACCCACUGCCCACCCUCUCAUUUUUCCCUCCUGUUGCAUCUCUUCCUGUGAGAUAUUUUAUCCUGUUCUACCUUUUCCUUCUGCUCCCACAGUAAUUAAUUCUCUUUCUGACACCUUUUUUAUAUCAUCCUCUUAAAGUCAUCUCAUACUCACAUCCUCUCUCUAUCUGUACUCCUUCUAAGUAUACUAUUUUACUGAAUGACUAUUUUUUCCCUUGAAUGAUUAUGCUGUUUCAUUAGAUAGGUGAUCUUUGGUUGUAGUCCUAGCUCCUUUGCCUUACAGAAAAUCAUAAAGGAUCUUUGAUCCUUUAACCCUUUAAGGUUGUAGUUACUAAGUCCUGUGUAAUCCUGACUAUUGUUUCCUGGCUACUUGCAAUAUUUUUUCCUUCACUUGGGAGUUCUGGAAUGUAGCUAUAAUAUUCCUCUGAGGCUCUCUUUCUGGAAGUAAUUGAUGGAUAUUUUCAAUGUCUAUUUCAUUCUAUGCUUCUAGGACAUGAGGGAAGUCAUCUUUGAUAAUUUCUUGAAGUAUGAUGUCCAGGUAUGCCUUUUGAUCAUGGCUUUCAAGUAGUCCAAUGAUUAUUAUGCAAUGAUCUCUGCUGUAUCUAUUUUCCAGGUCAGUUGUUUUUCCAAUGCUUUUUUUUUUUUUAUGCUUUUUCUUCUAGUAUUUCAUCUUUUUUUUUUUAUUGAUUUUGAUUGACUACCUCAGUCAUUAAUAUCUACUUGUCAAAUUCUAAUUUUUAAGGAAUUAUUUUCUUCAGUUAGAUUUUGUACCUUUCCCAUUUAAACAAUUGUACUUUUAAGUUGUUUUCUUUAAUGAAUUUUUGUACUUCUUUUUCAAAUUGACCAAUGCUACUUUUUAAGGAAUUUUUUUUCUUCAAACUCUUCAAUUUUUUCAUGAUUCUUUCACAUCACUUUUAUUUUUCCAUUUUUUUUCUUCUAUCUGUUAUUUGAUUUUUAAUUCCUUUCUGAGCUUUUCCAUGAGUUCUUUUUGGGCUCAAGUCUAAUUGCUAUUUUUUUCUCUGCGACUUAGCCAAGAGGUGUUUUAAUAUUUUUCUUUUGAAUCUGUGUCUUGGUCUUCCUUUUUCACCAUAACUUUUUAUGGAAAUAAUUUUUGGAUGUGUUUUGUUCAUCACUCCUCACUUUAAAAUGUGAGUUCUGCUACUGGAUCAAAAGGGAACACUGUCCCAAACUUCUUAUGCUGGCAGCUGCAAGACUUGGCUGUUAGCCUGGUGCUGCACUGGUGCUGCCCUUAGGUCCCUGGGGAACCUUCAUGCUAAGGGACCGUGGCGGGUCCAGUUGCUCACUUGGCACAGAGGAGAGGAGUUGAAAUCAUGGGUGGCUAGUGCCACUCAGUUCCACAGGAAUCUGACAGCUCAACUGAUCCUGUGUUGAAGCACAUGGGGGUUUCAGUGCUAAUAUCUGCCCAUUUGGAAGGAAUAGUGCUGGGACUUAUGGAGAAGUCCUCACUGGUGUCUGCUCAUUCUUGUGGAGCUGAAGCACAAGGGGAGUCCCAGUGCUGAUCUCCCUGUUUACCUGGUGCUGUGGUGUGGUAUGUAGGGGGAGGGAAUGAAUAUAAGUGUUUACUUGAUCAUCUGCUGUUUUAAUGGUGUUCAGAGACUUCCACUGUCUGCUGAGAUAGGACUUGGCUGCUUGCUUGUUGGGAGGCUUCCUGUCCUGAACUGUGCUCCCCUUUUGUUCUAAUGAGAAAAACCUUUUCUGCCAAGCUUCCAAGUUUCUUGGGCUAGAUUAUUGUUUCAUCCCAUCUUUUGUUGGUCCUGCCAUACCAGAAUUUGUUUUGGGGUGCUAUUUUAGCAUUGUUUGGAGGUGAAUAUGAAACAGAGGAUUUCUUGCUUCUUCUGAUAUCUUGGCUUCCGGAAGUCCAGGUAAGAUUUAUGCCAGAAGUGCAGGGCUGGUUCAAUAUUAGGAAAACUAUCAGUCUAAUAGAUCAUAUAAAUAAAACCAACUGAAACAUAUGAUUAUUUCAACAGAGGCAGGAAAGGCUUUUGACAAAAUACAACACUCAUUCCUAGUUAAAAAAAACACUAAAGAGCAUAGAAAGAAUAGAGCUUACUUUAAAAUGAUGAAUAAUAUUUAUCUAAAAUCAUCAGGAAUCAUUAUCAGUAAUCUCUAUUACAGAAGUUAGAAGCCUUCCCAAUAACAUAAGGGAUGGAUCAAGGAUGCCAGAAAUGCUAGCUAUAGCAAUAAGGGAAGAAAAAGAAAUUAAAGGAAUUAGAACAGGCAGGAAAGAAAACUAUCACUCCUUGUAGGAUAUGUUGGAAUACUCAGAGUCCUAAAGAAUCAAUUAAAAAACUACUUGAAAUAAUUAACAACUUUAACACAGUUAUAAAAUAAGCCUACAUAAGUCAUCAGCAUUUUUAUAUAUUACCAAUAAAGCCCAGCAGCAAGACAUAAAGAGAAAUUCCAUUCAUAGUAACAGUAGACAAUACUUGGGAGUCUACCUGCCAAGCCAAUAUAAUAAAAAUAACAGUUCUGUGUAAAUUAUUCUACUUAUUCAGUGCCAUACAAACUAAAAAUUAUUCUUUAGAGCUAGAAAAAAUAAUAUUACUCUGGAAGAACUAAAGGGCAAGAAUAUCAAGGGAAUCAAUAAUAAUAAUAAAAGAUAAAGUAAGGUAGCCUUGACAUACCAGAUAUCAAACUGUAUUAUAAAGCAGUAAUUAUCAAAACUAUCUGGUACUGGUUAAAAAAUAAAGUGCAGAAUCAGUGGAAUAGAUUAGGCACACAAUACAUUACAGUAAAGAACCAUGGUAAUCUAUUAUUUGAUAAAUCCAAAGAUCAAAGCUUUUGGAACAAAACCUAUUUGUAUGUGUGUGUGGUGUGUGUGUGUGUGUGUGUGUGUGUGUGUGUGUAUACACACACAUACAUACAAACAUACAUCCAUAUACAGUAGCUCUUUUUUGUACUUUUUUUCCUUUCUUCCUUCCUUCUUUCCUUUCUUCCUAACCCUAACCCUAAAUGCCCGACUCUAACCCUCCCUCCUUUGGUCUUCUGGGACAAAAUUACUAACACAGAAAUGUUUUACAUGAUUGCACAUGUAUAACCCACAUCAGAUUGCUUAUGUCUCAGGAAGACAGGAGGGAUAGAUUUUGGAAGUCAAAACUUAAAAAAAAGAAAAAAGAAAGAAAUGUUUAUAUAUAUAUAUAUAUAUAUAUAUAUAUAUAUAUUUAUAUAUCAUGGAGUCAGAGUAAAUAUUACAUACGGCUUAGCAGCUUCCACAUUAAAGGAUUUAAAGGUUUGGAAUAUGAUAUCCUGGAAAACAAAGGAGCAAAAAUUUAAAAUCAAGAAUAAUCUAAUUGGGGAAGAUGGGGAAGUAGAUCUGAAACUUCCAAGCUCUCUAGAUCUCCCCACAAACAAAACAAAAUAGCACUUCAGGGCAAACAGAGAGCAGUAAAAUAUGAUCAAGAGUUGGGACAGAACAGUGGUCCUCCUGGGACAACUGGAGAUCCAAAAAAAGAUGCCAGCAUGGAGGUUUGGCUGGUGUGAAAUGUAAACACUUCUAGGCUAGCUCUGCAGAAACAGCAAACAGAGAGCCUUGUGGCAGGCCUGGCCACUAGCCUUUUCACCUCCUAGGCAGAAUGGGGAGUUGAGUGAGAGUCAAGGAGGACUCUCUGAAGGAAUUUUUGCUGAUAAGGAACACCAGGCCCAGCUGUGCUCUGAAAUGUGGCCCUGAAUGAAAAAGGACCAGCACAUGCCCAGUGACUACAGAAGCAGUGGGAUAGGGCUGUGGGCAUUUACAAAAAGGCAGAGUUCUUAGUUUUCAGUUCCAGGCCAAAGAUGAGAACUGAAGGAGGAUCUAAUGCCAGAGGUGCCAUCCCCCUCACCCCAGGACUGUAAAGCUGCUAUAAAUAAAUUUUAAAAAGAGCAGGCAAAGGAGAAGGAAUCUAAUUACUGAAAGUUACUAUGGAAAUAGAGAAGAUGAGUGUUAAUCUUCAAAGGAAUUUACUGAAGUGACAAACUUCUACCACAAAGAAUAAUAUCAAAAGGUCACCUGCCCAAAAAGAAUUCAUACAAAAACUCAAAAAAGACUUUAAAAAUCAAAUGAAAGAGAUUUCAGGGGGAAAAAAAAAAUAAGAACAAUUCAAGAAAAACCAAGAAGAUAAUGAAAAGAAAGCCAAUUAACUGGAAAAGGAGAUCCAGAAUCUUAAGAAAAUGACUCCUAGAAAAUCAGAACUGGGCAAGAGGAAGCCAGUGAAGUUAUAAGAGACCAAGAAAUAAUAAAACAAAAUACAAAGAAUGAAAAAAAUUGAAGAGAAUAUAAACUUCUCAUAAGAGAAACAGCUGGUCUGGAGAACAGAUCUAGAAGAGAAAAUAUAAGAAUAAUCAGACUACCUGAAAGCUACGAUCAAACAAGAAUCCUGAUAUAAGAAAUAAAGAAAAUUGCCCUGAAGUUUUAAAACAAGAGGGGAAAGUAGGAAAAAAAAAAACAAAAAACAAAAAAACCCAACUCUCACCAUCUAAAAGAAGUCCUACAAGGAAAACCUACAGGAAUAUCAUAGCCAAAUUUCCAAACCUCCAGGUCAAGGAGAAAAUAUUAUAAUCAACAAGAAAAAAAAAUCUUCAGCAAAUGCAGCAAAGCCACAAUUAGCAUCACCUAAGCUCUACCAAUGACUACAUUAAAAGACCACAGGUCCUGGAACACUAUGGAAGAACGAAAGAACUAGAGCUGCAGGUGAAAAUAUCAUAUCCAACAAAAUUAAGCAUAAUCUUAAACAACAGAAAAACAGAUAUUCAACAAACUGCCAGACUUCCAGGAUUUGAUUGUAAAAAGACUUGAAAUUAAUAGAAAAUUUGACAUACAAGUUCCUAGAGAAAUAUAAGACUAAUUAUAAGGUACUCACUAAGGACAAACUUGUUUAUACAUGGAAAUGCAAACUAUAUGUCUAAGACUGUCAUUAGUAAUUGGGUAGUUAGAAAAAAAGAUUUGGGUAGGACUGAAUAUGGUGUGAUUUUAAAAGGCAAAACUAUGUAGGAAAAGGUAAAAAGUAAUGGAACAAAUGAGGCACAAGAAGAAGUAACACAGAAGACAUCAAUGGGAGAGUAGGCUUGAAAAUUAUGAAACCAUACUCUCACCAGGAAUGGGUUAAAGAGAGAACAACACACACACACACACAUAUAAAAUAUGGGUAUGUCUUCUAAUAUAUAUAUAUGCGUGUGUGUGUGUGUAUAUCUAGAAGGGUAUAAGUCUUCUAAAUCCAGAAAGAAAUAAGAGGAUAAGGGGAUAGGGAGGGGGAAAGGAUAAGGGAGGGAUUUUUAGAGGGAACCCUACUCACAUCAGAUCCAGAUUAAAGGGAGAACAACACAUACAUUUGAAAGUCUUCUAAAUUUAUAAAGGAGAGUGAAG
rnacentral:lncRNA from 1 species